AACGAACGCUGGCGGCAGGCUUAACACAUGCAAGUCGAGCGCACCGCGAGGUGAGCGGCGGACGGGUUAGUAACGCGUGGGAACGUGCCCUUUUCUUCGGAAUAGCCUCGGGAAACUGAGGGUAAUACCGGAUACGCCCUUUGGGGGAAAGAUUUAUCGGGGAAGGAUCGGCCCGCGUCUGAUUAGGUAGUUGGUGGGGUAAAGGCCCACCAAGCCGACGAUCAGUAGCUGGUUUGAGAGGAUGAUCAGCAACACUGGGACUGAGACACGGCCCAGACUCCUACGGGAGGCAGCAGUGGGGAAUCUUAGACAAUGGGCGCAAGCCUGAUCUAGCCAUGCCGCGUGGAUGAAGAAGGCCUUAGGGUCGUAAGUCCUUUCGCUGGGGAAGAUAAUGACGGUACCCAGUAAAGAAACCCCGGCUAACUCCGUGCCAGCCGCCGCAGUAA
rnacentral:rRNA from 1 species